rnacentral:rRNA from 1 species
UACGUAGGUGGCGAGCGUUGUCCGGAUUUACUGGGCGUAAAGGGAGCGUAGGCGGACUUUUAAGUGAGAUGUGAAAUACCCGGGCUCAACUUGGGUGCUGCAUUUCAAACUGGAAGUCUAGAGUGCAGGAGAGGAGAAUGGAAUUCCUAGCGUAGCGGUGAAAUGCUUAGAGAUCCGGAAGAACACCGGGUGGCGAAGGCGGUCUGCUGGGGUAAUGCUGACACUGAUGCGCGGACAGCGGUGGGGAGCAAACAGG